GGGGCCCCGUCCUACCAAGGAGGAGGAUUCUGGUCCAGACGGCACAGCAACAAGGAACAGAUCAGCAACAACUUCUCUGACUGAAAAAUAGGCACGCAAAG